rnacentral:rRNA from 1 species
UACGGAGGGUGCAAGCGUUGUCCGGAUUUAUUGGGUUUAAAGGGUGCGUAGGCGGCCCGUUAAGUCAGUGGUGAAAGCCUCCAGCUCAACUGGAGAACUGCCAUUGAUACUGACGGGCUUGAGUACAGACGAGGUUGGCGGAAUUGAUUGUGUAGCGGUGAAAUGCAUAGAUACAAUCAAGAACUCCGAUUGCGUAGGCAGCUAGCUAGGCUGUAACUGACGCUGAGGCACGAAAGCGUGGGGAGUGAACAGG